GGCAUGGCAUAGUGGUUUGAGUGUUGAACUACAGUUCUUGAGACCAGGGUUCGAUUCCCAGCUUGGCCA